rnacentral:rRNA from 1 species
UACGGAGGGGGCUAGCGUUGUCCGAAGUUACUGGGCGUAAAGCGCGCGUAGGCGGGUUGGUAAGUCCGCUGUGAAAGCCCGGAGCUUAACUCCGGAGGGUCGGUGGAUACUGCCAGUCUUGAAGGUGCUAGGGGGAGAUGGAAUUACCGGUGUAGCGGUGAAAUGCGUAGAUAUCGGUAGGAACACCAGUGGCGAAGGCGGUCUCCUGGGGCAUUCUUGACGCUGAGGCACGAAAGCGUGGGGGAGCAAAC